rnacentral:rRNA from 1 species
CAAUAGCGUAUAUUAAAGUUGUUGCGGUUAAAAAGCUCGUAGUUGGAUCUCGGCGGGCAGGGGGCGGUUCGUUGUCUUGACGGCACUGCCCCAUUUGUCCGUGGUUUUGACGGAGGUUUGAGGGUUCUCUUCACCGGGUGUCCUCAGAUGCCGUCAGGUUUACUUUGAAAAAAUUAGAGUGCUCAAAGCAGGCUGUUUUGCUUGAAUAUUCGUGCAUGGAAUAAUGGAAUAGGAAGUCGUUUCUAUUUUGUUGGUUUUCGGAAAUUGACUUAAUGAUUAAUAGGGACAGCCGGGGGCAUUAGUAUUCAGACGACAGAGGUGAAAUUCUUGGACCGUCUGAAGACUAACUACUGCGAAAGCAUUUGCCAAGAGUGUUUUCAUUAA